AUUGAACGCUGGCGGCAUGCUUUACACAUGCUAGUCGAACGGUAACAGGUUAAGCUGACGAGUGGCGAACGGGGGAGUAAUGCAUCGGAACGUGCCCGAUCGCGGGGGAUAACGCAGCGAAAGCUGCGCUAAUACCGCAUACGAGCUGAGGAUGAAAGCGGGGGACCGUAAGGCCUCGCGCGAUCGGAGCGGCCGAUGUGAGCUUAGGUAGUUGGUGGGGUAAAGGCCCACCAAGCCGACGAGCUGAAGCUGGUCUGAGAGGACGACCAGCCACACUGGGACUGAGACACGGCCCAGACUCCUACGGGAGGCAGCAGUGGGGAAUUUUGGACAAUGGGCGAAAGCCUGAUCCAGCAAUGCCGCGCGGAGGAAGAAGGCCUUCGGGUUGUAAACUGCUUUUGUACGGAGCGAAAAGGUCCUUUCUAAUACAAGGGGCUCAUGACGGUACCGUAAGAAUAAGCACCGGCUAACUACGUGCCAGCAGCCGCGGUAA
rnacentral:rRNA from 1 species